rnacentral:tRNA from 2 species
CACUGUAAAGCUAGCCAGCAUUAACCUUUUAAGUUAAAGAUUGAGAGAGCCCAUCUCUCUACAGUGA